CCUACGGGAGGCAGCAGUGGGGAAUAUUGCGCAAUGGGGGAAACCCUGACGCAGCAACGCCGCGUGAGUGAGGAAGGACUUCGGUCUGUAAAGCUCUGUUAAUGUGGAAAAAUGGUAGUUGGUCUAAUAGGCCGAUUAUUUGAUGGUACACAUAGAGGAAGCACCGGCUAACUUCGUGCCAGCAGCCGCGGUAAUACGAAGGGUGCAAGCGUUGUUCGGAUUUAUUGGGCGUAAAGCGCGCGUAGGCGGACCUGUAAGUCAGAUGUGAAAUCUCGGGGCUCAACCUCGAAACUGCGUCUGAAACUGCAGGUCUAGAAUCUCGGAGGGGGAAGGGGAAUUUCGCAUGUAGGGGUAAAAUCCGUAGAUAUGCGAAGGAACACCAGAGGCGAAGGCGCCUUCCUGGACGAGUAUUGACGCUGAGGCGCGAAAGCGUGGGGAUCAAACAGGAUUAGAUACCCUGGUAGUCCACGCUGUAAACUAUGAACACUAGGUAUUGGAGGAUUUGACCCCUUCAGUGCCGUAGCUAACGCGUUAAGUGUUCCGCCUGGGAAGUCGGUCGCAAGACUAAACUUNAAAGAUUGNGNGNGNGNGNGCGAGCGACGACGAGGAGAGG
rnacentral:rRNA from 1 species